rnacentral:rRNA from 1 species
UACGGAGGGUGCAAGCGUUAUCCGGAUUCACUGGGUUAAAGGGUGCGUAGGUGGAUCUGUAAGUCAGUGGUGAAAUCUCCAAGCUUAACUUGGAACUGCCGUUGAUACUAUAGAUCUUGAAUGCUGUGGAGGUGAGCGGAAUAUGUCAUGUAGCGGUGAAAUGCUUAGAUAUCAGGAGGAACACCUGUGGUGUAGACAGCUUACUGGACCACUUCUGACGCUGAGACACGAAAGCGUGGGGAGCAAACAGG